GUGUCAGCAGCCGCGGUAAUACGAAGGGGGCUAGCGUUGCUCGGAAUUACUGGGCGUAAAGGGCGCGUAGGUGGCCUUGUUAGUCAGGCGUGAAAUUCCUGGGCUCAACCUGGGGGCUGCGCUUGAUACGGCAGGGCUUGAGGGUGGAAGAGGCUCGUGGAAUUCCCAGUGUAGAGGUGAAAUUCGUAGAUAUUGGGAAGAACACCGGUGGCGAAGGCGGCGAGCUGGUCCAUACCUGACACUGAGGCGCGACAGCGUGGGGAGCAAACAGGAUUAGAUACCCCCGUAGUCC
rnacentral:rRNA from 1 species